UAUGCGUUCAAUGGACGCUGCAGGUAUUAUAAAUGAAAAUGCAAUCCUUUUUAAAAUUCGUGUUUUAAUUAUCCAAGAAAAACAAUUUAUUCCGUUUGCAAGAGUUUUUGAGAAGUAAAAAAAUGUAAAUUUUUUCCUGACCUGUGGUGAAUGAGUAACAAAAUUAGGAAAGAGUGGUUCCGUCGGUGUUGUCGGGAGCGAUCCUUCUUGCGAUUGGUGCGUUGCUGCUUUUUCUUAUCGUCAGCGUUUUUGUAUUGUUUGGAUCGCCCCCAUACAAUUCGCAGUGCUGUAUGGGCAUCUUCUUGUGUGAUGAAUUUGUGGCACAAACGGUAUCCAGCUCUCAUUACAUCUAACAAGAACUGGUACACACGUUUAUACUUGCCCAUUAAAGUCGUGCCAGACUUUUCUUUUAGAGUCAAUUCACAUCUAACCUCCAUAGAUACGAACCGACUCAAAUAUUUUGUCAUCGUAACAUUGUGCGUCGAUCGUUUGCUGGGUGUACAGAAAUCCCGCUCAUGCAUGAUCUGUUAAGUGACCAAAAAA